CCAAAUUUCUUCAGCCUCCUGAGGUUGAAGAGGUGCAGUUGUGCCUUCAUCACCACACUGCAAACCAUGGAGCCAUUUUGUAUUCUACAUGAGUCAAAUGUAAUGGAGUCUGUUGCCCAUGUUGUGAAUGGUUGCUGUUUAUACAAGGAUUUCAAUUUUUACAAUCUUUUGAGCAUGGAUUAAAUUAAUUAUAUUAUUUUUGCAUUUCAGCCUCUGGGUUAUUCCUUUUCAUGGUUUUGAGUCUCCAAACAGGUGAUGGUGGAACAGGUCACGGGUUCAGCCAACAACAUAUCAGAUGCCAUUAUUCUACUGACCGAGACCAUGGUGGAGCGACACGAGGUGGGCGGAGCUCGUGGUGGUGGAGAAUCGCCACCCCAGGUACCACCUCCACGUCUCAUGACUGUAGUGACAGCUUCAUCGUGGUGUUGACCCGCGGGUGCCUCGACUAUCGACAGCAUCCCUCCGCUUUAUAGGUACAGUACACAUCAACAACCUCUAACCCUCAAGCUUAUUUUUACCUACCGCCUCAAUCGGAUGUCUGCUCCCGUCUGCACAGGAUUCAACCCCACCUCAGUUUUUGUAGUCCGUGCGGACAGGUGCGAAUGUGAGCGGAUGUUCAAUAUUGAAUCAUUUCGUUUGAGCGAACCUAGCAGAUCUAUCUAGCUCCUUAA
rnacentral:lncRNA from 1 species